rnacentral:lncRNA from 10 species
AGUCUGGGCGCUGGAGCGGUGGGAGCAGCGCUCGUCCGCCGUUGGGGCCCCCAGCCCGCGCGCGUGAAGCAGCUAGCCGACCAAGCCCCGGAAGGCGAGUGCCGGAGGGGGCGGGACAGCUCCUCCGGGGCCAGCGGGCACCAGGCUUGGGGGCUGAGGCCCAGCGGCCCGAGACCAACUGGGCUGACCGAGGCCGCCUCCCCGCCAGCCCUGGGGUCCACUGCCCGGGGAGCAGCUCCCUUCCCAGGUCAGACUCGGGCUUCAUCCUCUCUUGCCGCGCGCCGAGCGGUUUUCAACUCUCACUGCUAGAAUUCCUCCAACCACCCAGGAUAGCAGGACCGAGAUACAUGGCCACCCAUGACCCGGAGCGUCCACUUCCAGGGACAGGCAGUGGUGAUUGGCUUCGGUUGUCAUCUGUGCCAUCUGUCCAUGGUUCGAGAAGCUGCUGUUCACGUUUUGGGGAGGAUCAUGGUUUGAGGGCUCCCGUGGUAGAAUUUGGGGAGCUCUCAUAGGCAGAAGGCUGAGAAAAGUUGGUGCUGUGGGAAGUCAACUGGCAGCCGAUGGAGUCGGGACCCGGGAGGAAUGGAAAGGGAACCCAGAUAGGAAGCUACUGCAGUAGGCUCAGAGAGGUGAUGACGGCAGGGCUAAGACAGCGGCCUUGGGCGGUGACUGGGAAGAACGUUGAACACCGUGUUUGGGCUGAAGAAAAGAGCAAGGGAAGAGUCCCAGCUGCUCUGGAGUUUGAGGCAGGAGGAUGGCUUGAACCCAAGAGGUGGAGGCUGAAGUGAGCCAAGAUCGCGCCACUGCACUCCAGCCUGGGCGACAGGGCAAAACCCUGUCUCUAAAAAGAACUUUUUAAAAAAGCACCUGUAGAUUUAAGCACAUAAUAACUACACUUUUGUCUGUUUUAUUAUGAUAUCAAAGUUAAAUUUAUGAUGAAUGACUAACUGGACAAAACUGAGAGCAACCACCACAGAGGUGAAUAUACUGAAUGUAUAACACUCUCUAAUAAUUUUAAGAACUCCGCUCUAAUGAGCAGAUAUCACAGAAAGAGACUUUUCAGAUGAAAUACCGAUGACCAGGAAAUCUGUGAGACCAUUUUAAAAAAUUCGAAGUCAUUGAAGAAAUGCAAAGCUUCCAGGCUCCACUUUUCACUGAUGAAAUUGGCAGAGUUUGGGACAAUGAGAUGUUGCUGUCCCGGGAGUGCGGAUGGGGCUGUGUCCUGUGAUGGCGGUGGGCACUGGCACUCUUGUCCAGAAAGACAUUCACCACUGUGGUUCAAGAAGCACCUCAAAGGUCUUCACCUUGGUCCCUUGUCCACCUCUGCCCGCGGUCUCUCCUCCUUUCAGCCUCCUCUUUCCCACACAGUCCCUCCCGCCCUGGCUUGGUCCCCUUUCUUCUGACUGGGUCAGGCAUGUGGGUGACUCUUUGACUUCCAAGGCUCUGUCUACUUGGCUUUUUUCUUUCACCUGUUCUGCAGAAUAACAGCCUGAUUCGUUCCUCUUUUUGGGUCCUUCACUUCCAUACCUGGGAUUCGGGGCGUGGCCCAGAAAGACCCUGCAGUCUUGCAGUGUGGGGCUGCCAGCAUUUCAUGGCCUCCAAGCUCAGCUGGGCUGAAUGAACGCUGCCAUCCAGCGCUUGGCUCAUUUUCUGUCCCAUUUUCCUGAGUGCUUUUGCCAGACUUACACUUUUCUGAAAGCUACUCCACCCUACCCCAGACACACCCUCUCUCCUCGGAUGACCUGCCUCCUAAUUUCCUGAGAAAACUGGACAUGGCCACCUUUCCCCAGUGUCUGAGGCCCAGGUUGACCCGUGGUCAUGGUCGCUGUCACCACCCACCUGCCUGUAUGACAGAGUGAGACCCUGUCUCAAAAAAAAAUAAAAAGAA